rnacentral:rRNA from 1 species
AGUACUCGAGUGGCGAACGGGUGAGUAACACGUGGGUAAUCUGCCCUGCACUCUGGGAUAAGCCUGGGAAACUGGGUCUAAUACUGGAUAUGACCUUUCUCCUUAUGGGGUUUGGUGGAAAGUUUUUCGGUGUAGGAUGAGCCCGCGGCCUAUCAGCUUGUCGGUGGGGUGAUGGCCUACCAAGGCGACGACGGGUAGCCGGCCUGAGAGGGUGAUCGGCCACAUUGGGACUGAGAUACGGCCCAG